AUUGAACGCUGGCGGCAGGCCUAACAAAUGCAAGUCGAGCGAGCGGCGGACGGGUGAGUAAUGUAUGGGAAACUGCCUGAUGGAGGGGGAUUGCUACUGGAAACGGUAGCUAAUACCGCAUAACAUCCGAUGAACCCAUAUGGGAUUAGCUUGUAGGUAAGGUAACGGCUUACCUGGGCGACGAUCCCUAGCUGGUUUGAGAGGAUGAACUGCCACACUGGGACUGGGCACCGGCCCAGACUCCUACGGGAGGCAGCAGUGGGGAAUAUUGCACAAUGGGCGCAAGCCUGAUGCAUCCAUGCCGCUUGUAUGAAGAAGGCCUUCGGGUUGUAAAGUACUUUCAGUCGGGAUGCGUUUCCGACAGAAGAAGCACCGGCUAACUCCGUGCCAGCAGCCGCGGUAAUUC
rnacentral:rRNA from 1 species